GACUGGUCUAGUUGCCUAAAUGGUUACAGUGUCUGCCUAGGAUGCGUGAGGUCAUGGGUUUGAACCCCAGCGGAGUCA